rnacentral:rRNA from 1 species
CCUACGGGGGGCUGCAGUGAGGAAUAUUGGUCAAUGGGCGAGAGCCUGAACCAGCCAAGUCGCGUGAAGGAAGAAGGAUCUAUGGUUCGUAAACUUCUUUUUUAGGGGAAUAAAGUGCGGUACGUGUACCGUUUUGUAUGUACCCUACGAAUAAGGAUCGGCUAACUCCGUGCCAGCAGCCGCGGUAAUACGGAGGAUCCGAGCGUUAUCCGGAUUUAUUGGGUUUAAAGGGUGCGUAGGCGGAAGAAUAAGUCAGUGGUGAAAGUUUGCAGCUC